CAGCUGGUCCCAACUGGCUCCAGAGAUAUCCAACACCUUAUGACAUCAGGCGCAUCACAUAAAGCUGGAAAGAGGAAGAGGGGGGAUGUUCGGAGCAGUGCCUUCCUAAAUCAACAUUCCGUGUGAUAGGACCCAUCUUUCCAGGGGAUGGCUGCACAACUGCUUGCCGGUCAAAAGUCUCAAGUGAAUUCCUGGUUUUGCUCUACUUGUGGAAAGGCUGUCCAGGAGGGAAACGGGGGUGUUUGAGAGAAGAAAGAUGACAGCCUAAUACCUCUUUUAAAGAAGAAAAUGGAAAUGACACAACUUUUAGACACAUGUAUGGACUAAUAUUCUAACUUGAAGAUAAGCAAUGAUCACAUUAACUAUGGAGUACUUGCAUGACCCGAUAUCGCAGUAAUUCCAGUUCCUCACCUCAGUCUCUGGGAAGGUGACGGAUUACCUCAUUGUGGAGACCAUCUCUAUCCACAUGGACGAGAAGAAGAUGAUCAGGAGUAGUCAUCAUGCAUUCACUAAAGGUAAAUCAUGCUCGAUCUACCAGAUUACCUUCUACAAUGAAACUACUUCCUGGAUGGAUGAGGGAAGAGCAGUGGGUAUUUUUUACCUCGACUUCAGCAAGGCUUUUGACACUGUCUGUCACAACAUCCUCAUAGGCAAACUCAGGGAGUGUGGACUGGAUGAGUGGGCGGUGACAUGGAGCGAGAACCAGCCAAACAGCAGAUCCCAGAGAGUCAUAAUCAGCUGCACAUUGGAUAACUUCAUGGAGAACUGUAUCUUGUGGGAGAGAUCCCACAGUGGAGCAGGGGAAGGACUCCUCUCCCUGAGCUGUGGGAGAAGUCACGGGUGAUGAGCUGGCCAUAACCUCCAUUCCCAGUCUCCGUGGGCCACUGGGGGAUGAGGAUUUUUAAUCUGUGAAACUUCCUAGUGGGACAUUGAUGUCAUUCAGAAAGUGACAUGUAGCUGGUGAAGAAGAGAGAGAGCCAACUUGCAGUUUAAGGAGAGUAUUGAUCUGGAAAAUUCUGAUAGAAAUAAAGG